GCUGGCGGCAGGCCUAACUCAUGCAAGUCGAGCGGAAACGAUGGGAGCUUGCUCCCAGGCGUCGAGCGGCGGACGGGUGAGUAAUGCAUAGGAAUCUGCCCGGUAGUGGGGGAUAACCUGGGGAAACUCAGGCUAAUACCGCAUACGUCCUACGGGAGAAAGCAGGGGAUCUUCGGACCUUGCGCUAUCGGAUGAGCCUAUGUCGGAUUAGCUAGUUGGUGAGGUAAUGGCUCACCAAGGCCGCGAUCCGUAGCUGGUCUGAGAGGAUGAUCAGCCACAUCGGGACUGAGACACGGCCCGAACUCCUACGGGAGGCAGCAGUGGGGAAUAUUGGACAAUGGGCGAAAGCCUGAUCCAGCCAUGCCGCGUGUGUGAAGAAGGCCCUCGGGUUGUAAAGCACUUUCAGUGAGGAAGAAGGCUUGUGGGUUAAUACCCUGCAAGAAGGACAUCACUCACAGAAGAAGCACCGGCUAACUCCGUGCCAGCAGCCGCGGUAAUACGGAGGGUGCAAGCGUUAAUCGGAAUUACUGGGCGUAAAGCGCGCGUAGGCGGCUUGAUAAGCCGGUUGUGAAAGCCCCGGGCUCAACCUGGGAACGGCAUCCGGAACUGUCAGGCUAGAGUGCAGGAGA
rnacentral:rRNA from 1 species